rnacentral:tRNA from 1 species
GGGCGGUUAGCUCAGUGGGAGAGCGCCUGCCUUACAAGCAGGAAGUCACUGGUUCAAUCCCGGUACCGCCCA